UACGUAGGGGGCAAGCGUUGUCCGGAAUCAUUGGGCGUAAAGCGCGUGUAGGCGGCCAGAUAAAUCCGCUGUGAAAUCUCGAGGCUCAACUUCGAGCUGUCGGUGGAAACUGUCUGGCUAGAGUCCGGAAGAGGAGAAUGGAAUUCCUGGUGUAGCGGUGAAAUGCGCAGAUAUCAGGAAGAACACCCGUGGCGAAGGCGGUUCUCUGGGACGGUACUGACGCUGAGACGCGAAAGCGUGGGGAGCGAACAGG
rnacentral:rRNA from 1 species